UGGGGAAUCUUGCACAAUGGGCGAAAGCCUGAUGCAGCGACGCCGCGUGGGGGAUGAAGCUUCUCGGAGUGUAAACCCCUUUCGACCCGGACGAAUGCCCCGCAAGGGGACUGACGGUACGGGUAUAAGAAGCCCCGGCUAACUACGUGCCAGCAGCCGCGGUAAGACGUAGGGGGCCAGCGUUGCUCGGAAUUACUGGGUGUAAAGGGUUCGUAGGCGGUGUGGCAAGUCGGGAGUGAAAUCUCUGGGCUCAACCCAGAGACUGCUUCCGAAACUGCUGUGCUUGAGUGUGGGAGAGGCGCGUGGAAUUGCAGGUGUAGCGGUGAAAUGCGUAGAUAUCUGCAGGAACACCCGUGGCGAAAGCGGCGCGCUGGACCACUACUGACGCUGAGGAACGAAAGCUAGGGGAGCAAACAGGAUUAGAUACCCUGGUAGUCCUAGCCCUAAACGAUGUGUGCUAGACGUUGGGGAGCGCAGCUCUUCGGUGUCGCAGCAAACGCUUUAAGCACACCGCCUGGGGAGUACGGCCGCAAGGUUA
rnacentral:rRNA from 1 species